rnacentral:rRNA from 1 species
UACGAGGGGGGCAAGCGUUGUUCGGAAUUAUUGGGCGUAAAGGGUGCGUAGGUGGUUCGGCAAGUCUUGUGUGAAAUCUUCAGGCUCAACUUGAAGUCUGCACAAGAAACUGCCGGGCUUGAGUAUGGGAGAGGUGAGUGGAAUUUCCGGUGUAGCGGUGAAAUGCGUAGAUAUUGGGAGGAACACCAGUGGCGAAGGCGGCUACCUGGACCGGUUCUGACGCUGAUGCGCGAAAGCGUGGGUAGCAAACAGG